GUUUCUAAAUAAAAAACCUAGAGGGAAAAGUGGCGCUAGUGUCUACGGGGGUUCUCCUGAACGUCGCCUCAACCUACAUGGGAAUGAUGGGAAGUACAGGCUUCGGAUUGACUUCUGUCUUGAAACUGGUGGCGUUUGCAUGCGGCGCAGUAAACGAAGCUGUAUUAAAACAUUUUCGUGCAAAAAUUAAUUUUAUUUAUGUUGUGUUUUAUAUAAUGCAUAAUACAUUGAAUAAAGUUUGUAUGACUUUGAGAUUGAAGCAUGGUUUACCACCAGGGUAUGCAUUGUUCUGCCUGAUUUAGCGCCAUUGAAUAAUUAUUUAUUUACUUUCACAACAGCAAUAACAACCGUGCAUGUGCUUAUAUAAAAAUACUCAUCAAAUAUUUAUGGAAAUAAAAAUUUUGUAUUAUGAGAAAAGAGUUGCGCCUUUGAGAGAAAUGUUACAAGUGUCGUCUGCUACGACGCCUGCUCGCUGCGAACGCGGGGAAAGUGAACUUUUCUCGCAGACGGUACGCACUUGCGAACUCUCUCGCUCUUUCGAAAGGCUGCAUCGGCUGUCACGAUUGAUGAACGCCUUCGAGUACUUUUAAACACAUCUGCUGCAGUGCUAUCUUAGACGCUUGUGGCCUCUUACGAGCAUGCUUUACUAUAUUUUAUGUUGACGUACCGCUUCUUCUGAAGUGCGCGCCAGCAACUGUUACGUCGUGGCUUUGCGCUUACCCGUUUUGCGACAGCAGACUACAGCCAGGAAACAGCAACCUUUCUUACCACAAGUUUCCAAUUGGCAAUCCCAUCCUCCUGCAAAAAUGGCUUCAAGCCAUGGGUCUGAGAGGCUUUGCUCCAACCAGACGUCAUGCUCUGUGCUCUGCCCACUUCGAGCAAUUUAACUUUUGCGGUGGUCUACAACGACGCCGACUGCGUGAAGGGGCAGUGCCGACUUUGUUUCAACCAAGCAGUGACAACACAAGGGUAGAAGCAUCAGCAGCAACACUUGAAGCUCACUCGAUGUGUUCACCGGAAGGAUGGGCAGCGUUGUAAUCAACCAACACGUUGUGCACAAGAUUUUGGUUGCUCAAUGCUGUGUUGCUC